rnacentral:lncRNA from 1 species
ACUUAGUACCCAGGUCCCAAAGUAGGAGAGUGAAGGCCAAUGGCAGUGACAGCAGCAGGAUUGUGAUGUUAUUGUGGAGAUGAGGCUGCACUACCUUCAGAGCUUCUGGCCCUGGAUGUCCUGUGACCAGGCAGGUCCACCACAGCAGAGGCCACACGGAGGGAGGCCCAUGUCUGAAAAGGACAUGGGUGAGUCAGCAGUGAGUAGAGGACUGGAGGGUCACCCUCCCUAAUACAAAACAACACAUGGUAACUUCUGUGCCCUAGGAACUUAGAAAAGAGCAGGCGAAGAA